rnacentral:misc_RNA from 1 species
AAGUCGUAACAAGGUUUCCGUAGGUGAACCUGCGGAAGGAUCAUUAACUGGUUUGGUGGUGGUGGUGGUGGUGGUGGUUGGGUUGGGUUGGGUUGGUUGCGCACUGUGGUCACUCACUGGCGUGGCUUCUCCUCAAUCUCAUAUCAUAUCAUAUCAUAUCAUCACAAUAAACGCAAGACAGCUAUUGCAGUUGUCUUGUCUUGUUUUCACGCUUGCUUUGUUUGACAGAUAUAAUAUUUGAUGGAAUGGAUUUAUUCAUGAUAACUUUUAACAAUGGAUCUCUUGGCUCUU